GGCAACAUGGCCGAGUGGUCUAAGGCGCUGGAAUUAGGAACCUUCCUUACUAUCCAGUCCGAAAGGGCGUGGGUUCGAACCCCACUGUUGUCA